UUAGCUGAAACCAAAAAGAGGUAUAUUAUUGUUAAUAAUAAAACUGAAUGAAUUAUUCCAGCUAAG
rnacentral:tRNA from 1 species